AUAACAAGCCCUGUCUUACCCUCACUUAAUGAUUGUACAGGUGGUAUAUUGACUCCUCGUCAAAUAACAAGCCAUGUCCUAACCUCAGUUAAUGAUUGUAUUCCCACUAUUUCUAGAGAGAUAACAAGCCCUGUCUUACCCAUAUUUAAUGAUUGUACAGGUGGUAUAUUGACUCCUCAUCAUAUAACAAGCCAUGUCCUAACCUCAGUUAAUGAUUGUAUUCCCACUAUUUCUAGAGAG